rnacentral:rRNA from 1 species
GACGAACGCUGGCGGCGUGCUUAACACAUGCAAGUCGAACGGAAACGCCCUGCUUUUGUGGGGUGCUCGAGUGGCGAACGGGUGAGUAACACGUGAGUAACCUGCCCUUGACUUUGGGAUAACUUCAGGAAACUGGGGCUAAUACCGGAUAGGAGCUCCUGCUGCAUGGUGGGGGUUGGAACGUUUCGUCGGUUGGGGAUGGACUCGCGGCUAAGGAGCUUGUUGGUGGGGUAGUGGCUUACCAAGGCUUGGACGGGUAGCCGGCCUGAGAGGGUGACCGGGCCCAUAGGCCUGAGGUAGGGACCAGUGUGCAAUGGGAGGCAAUGGGGGGGAAUAUGACCCAGUGAGGGGGCGCCUGAGACAACGGCGCCGCGGGCGGGAUGACGGCCUGCGGGUUGAGAACCGCUUUCGCCUAUGACGAAGCGUGAGUGACGGUAAUGGGUAAAGAAGCACCGGCUAACUACGUG